CACGCGUUCAUGAUCUUUCAUUCUGUGGAUGUAGUACGAUUCAUUGUGCGACCUCGUUUUGCAGAAAUAUCCGCCUCAACAUAAAGUGCUGGUCCUUGGGUUUCUUCAACACUGAGUUGGAGCCUCGAACAUUUAUUUUGAAAUUUUACUUGAACUGUGUCAUCAGAUGACAGCCAUGUCCGGUUCUACCGCGGCACUGGAAACGCAAAGCGCUCAGGUGUCGGCAGCUUCCGAC